rnacentral:rRNA from 1 species
AUUGAACGCUGGCGGCAGGCUUAACACAUGCAAGUCGAGCGAGCGGCGGACGGGUGAGUAAUGUCUGGGAAACUGCCUGCUGGCGGGGGAUAACUACUGUAAACGGUAGCUAAUACCGCCUACCAUCAGAUGUGCCCAGAUGGGAUUAGCUAGUAGGUGGGGUAAUGGCUCACCGAGGCGACGAUCCCUAGCUGGUCUGAGAGGAUGACCAGCCACGCUGGAACGGAGACGCGGUCCAGACUCCUACGGGAGGCAGCAUUGGGGAGAAUCGCACGAUGGGCGCAAGCCUGAUGGAGCCAUGCCAUGUGUGUGCAGCCAGGAGUCGGGUUGUGACGCACUAUCAGCGAGGAAGCGUUACUCGCAGAAGAAGCGUCGGCUAACUCCGUGCCAGCAGCCGCGGUAAUUC